UACGUAGGGUGCGAGCGUUAAUCGGAAUUACUGGGCGUAAAGCGUGCGCAGGCGGUUUUGUAAGCCAGAUGUGAAAUCCCCGGGCUUAACCUGGGAAUGGCAUUUGGGACUGCAAGGCUCGAGUGCGGCAGAGGAGACUGGAAUUCCUGGUGUAGCAGUGAAAUGCGUAGAUAUCAGGAGGAACACCGAUGGCGAAGGCAGGUCUCUGGGCUGACACUGACACUGAGGCACGAAAGCGUGGGGAGCAAACAGG
rnacentral:rRNA from 1 species